rnacentral:tRNA from 1 species
GGGAGUAUAGGUCAGUGGUAGAACACUUGCCUAGCAAGCUUAGGCUCUGGGUUCAUUCCCCAGUACUGCCC